rnacentral:rRNA from 1 species
UACAGAGGUCCCAAGCGUUGUUCGGAUUCACUGGGCGUAAAGGGUGCGUAGGCGGUUGGGUAAGUCUGUCGUGAAAUCUCCGAGCCUAACUCGGAAACUGCGUCGGAUACUAUUCAACUCGAGGAAUGGAGGGGAGACUGGAAUUCUCGGUGUAGCAGUGAAAUGCGUAGAGAUGCGGCGGAACACCGAUGGCGAAGGCAGCCCCCUGGGCUGAGAUUGACGCUCAGGCACGAAAGCGUGGGGAGCAAACAGG